rnacentral:rRNA from 1 species
CCUACGGGAGGCAGCAGUGGGGAAUUUUGCGCAAUGGGGGCAACCCUGACGCAGCAACGCCGCGUGAGUGAUGAAGGCCUUCGGGUCGUAAAGCUCUGUCAGAGGGGAAGAAAUGCAGGUGGUGAACAACCAUUCUGUUUGACGGUACCCUCAAAGGAAGCACCGGCUAACUCCGUGCCAGCAGCCGCGGUAAUACGGAGGGUGCGAGCGUUGUUCGGAAUUAUUGGGCGUAAAGCGCGUGUAGGCGGUUUGGUAAGUCUGAUGUGAAAGCCCCGGGCUCAACCUGGGAAGUGCAUUGGAUACUGGCAGACUUGAGUACGGGAGAGGAGAGUGGAAUUCCCAGUGUAGGAGUGAAAUGCGUAGAUAUCGGGAGGAACACCAGUGGCGAAGGCGGCCUUCUGGCCCGUUCCUGACGCUGAGGCGCGAAGGCAAGGGGAGCGAACAGGAUUAGAUCCCCGGGUAGU